ensembl:lncRNA
AUCCAUGAGCCCAGAAUGUCCCCCUUUCCCUCUCACUACUGCAGUUCUUCCCUUGUAUCCUACGCAUAACAUUAUCUUAAAGGCUGAUGAAGGAGAUCUUGCCAGAGGAAUGGAUAAUUCUUGCAGAGUGAGAAGAAGGUGACAUACUUGAGUAGGAUGGGGGAGCAGUGACCUAAUCCAAGCCAAAUAACCUGGGAUCCAGUGCUAAGCUGCUAAUUACUUGCACUUUUCAAAGGACAGGAUAGUAACUGCUCAAGUGUUUCCUGGAAACGAUUUCUCUCUUUCUUUUCCAUCU